AAUUGGUGGUACUUGAGGA
rnacentral:miRNA from 1 species